GACGAACGCUGGCGGCGUGCUUAACACAUGCAAGUCGAACGGAAAGGCCCUGCUUUUGUGGGGUGCUCGAGUGGCGAACGGGUGAGUAACACGUGAGUAACCUGCCCUUGACUUUGGGAUAACUUCAGGAAACUGGGGCUAUACCGGAUAGGAGCUCCUGCUGCAUGGUGGGGGUUGGAACGUUUCGGCGGUUGGGGAUGGACUCGCGGCUUAUCAGCUUGUUGGUGGGGUAGUGGCUUACCAAGGCUUUGACGGGUAGCCGGCCUGAGAGGGUGACCGGCCACAUUGGGACUGAGAUACGGCCCAGACUCCUACGGGAGGCAGCAGUGGGGAAUAUUGCACAAUGGGCGGAAGCCUGAUGCAGCAACGCCGCGUGCGGGAUGACGGCCUUCGGGUUGUAAACCGCUUUCGCCUGUGACGAAGCGUGAGUGACGGUAAUGGGUAAAGAAGCACCGGCUAACUACGUG
rnacentral:rRNA from 1 species